GAUGAAGAACGUAGCGAAAUGCGAUAAGUAAUGUGAAUUGCAGAAUUCAGUGAAUCAUCGAAUCUUUGAACGCAUCUUGAGCUCCUUGGUAUUCUGAGGAGCAUGCCUGUUUGAGUGUCAUUAAAUUCUCAACUACACUGACUUUGAAUUGGUGUGGCUUGGAUUUGGGGGGAAAAUUGUUGUGGGCUUUUUGUAUAGUCUGCUCCCCUGAAAUUGAUUAGCGGUACCUUUGUGGAACUGUCUACAGGUGUGAUAAUUAUCUACAUCUUAGACAUCUGCUGGAAUGCUGCUUUCUAAACCUUACUUGUAUUGACAAUCUUGACCUCAAAUCAGGUAGGACUACCCGCUGAACUUAAGCAUAUCAAUAAGCGGAGGA
rnacentral:misc_RNA from 1 species